UGGGACUGAGACACGGCCCAGACUCCUACGGGAGGCAGCAGUGGGGAAUAUUGCACAAUGGGCGCAAGCCUGAUGCAGCGACGCCGCGUGAGGGAUGACGGCCUUCGGGUUGUAAACCUCUUUCGCCAGGGACGAAGCGCAAGUGACGGUACCUGGAUAAGAAGCACCGGCUAACUACGUGCCAGCAGCCGCGGUAAUACGUAGGGUGCGAGCGUUGUCCGGAAUUAUUGGGCGUAAAGAGCUCGUAGGCGGUUUGUCGCGUCGGCCGUGAAAUCUCCACGCUUAACGUGGAGCGUGCGGUCGAUACGGGCAGACUUGAGUUCGGCAGGGGAGACUGGAAUUCCUGGUGUAGCGGUGAAAUGCGCAGAUAUCAGGAGGAACACCGGUGGCGAAGGCGGGUCUCUGGGCCGAUACUGACGCUGAGGAGCGAAAGCGUGGGGAGCGAACAGGAUUAGAUACCCUGGUAGUCCACGCUGUAAACGUUGGGCGCUAGGUGUGGGCGACAUUCCACGUUGUCCGUGCCGYAGCUAACGCAUUAAGCGCCCCGCCUGGGGAGUA
rnacentral:rRNA from 1 species